UACGUAGGGUGCAAGCGUUGUCCGGAAUUAUUGGGCGUAAAGAGCUCGUAGGCGGCUUGUCGCGUCGGCUGUGAAAACUCGGGGCUCAACCCCGAGCCUGCAGUCGAUACGGGCAGGCCAGAGUCCGGCAGGGGAGACUGGAAUUCCUGGUGUAGCGGUGAAAUGCGCAGAUAUCGUAAGGAAGACCAGUGGCGAAGGCGGGUCUCUGGACAGUUCCUGACGCUGAGGCACGAAGGCCAGGGGAGCAAACGGG
rnacentral:rRNA from 1 species